AUUGACCUCAAAUCGGGUGAGACUACCCGCUGAACUUAAGCAUAUCAAUAAGCGGAGGAAAAGAAACUAACAAGGAUUCCCCUAGUAACUGCGAGUGAAGCGGGAAAAGCUCAAAUUUAAAAUCUGGUGGUCUUUGGCCAUCCGAGUUGUAAUUUAGAGAA
rnacentral:rRNA from 1 species